UCGUGUCGUGAGAUGUUGGGUUAAAGUCCCGCAACGAGCGCAACCCUUGCCAUUAGUUGCUACGAAAGGGCACUCUAAUGGGACUGCCGGUGACAAACCGGAGGAAGGUGGGGAUGACGUCAAGUCCUCAUGGCCCUUAUAGGUGGGGCUACACACGUCAUACAAUGGCCGGUACAGAGGGUAGCCAACCCGCGAGGGGGAGCCAAUCCCACAAAGCCGGUCGUAGUCCGGAUCGCAGUCUGCAACUCGACUGCGUGAAGUCGGAAUCGCUAGUAAUCGCGGAUCAGCAUGUCGCGGUGAAUACGUUCCCGGGUCUU
rnacentral:rRNA from 1 species